CCUACGGGGGGCUGCAGUGGGGAAUAUUGGACAAUGGGGGCAACCCUGAUCCAGCCAUGCCGCGUGUGUGAAGAAGGCCCUCGGGUUGUAAAGCACUUUCAGUGAGGAAGAACGCCUGGUGGUUAAUACCCAUCAGGAAAGACAUCACUCACAGAAGAAGCACCGGCUAACUCCGUGCCAGCAGCCGCGGUAAUACGGAGGGUGCGAGCGUUAAUCGGAAUUACUGGGCGUAAAGCGCGCGUAGGUGGCUUGAUAAGCCGGUUGUGAAAGCCCCGGGCUCAACCUGGGAACGGCAUCCGGAACUGUCAAGCUAGAGUGCAGGAGAGGAAGGUAGAAUUCCCGGUGUAGCGGUGAAAUGCGUAGAGAUCGGGAGGAAUACCAGUGGCGAAGGCGGCCUUCUGGACUGACACUGACACUGAGGUGCGAAAGCGUGGGUAGCAAACAGGAUUAGAUACCCCAGUAGUC
rnacentral:rRNA from 1 species